rnacentral:rRNA from 1 species
UUGGUUAACCUAGCCGGUAAGACUGGGAUAACUCCGGGAAACCGGAGCUAAUACCGGAUAGUUCCUUGAACCGCAUGGUUCAAGGAUGAAAGACGGUUUCGGCUGUCACUUACAGAUGGACCCGCGGCGCAUUAGCUAGUUGGUGAGGUAACGGCUCACCAAGGCGACGAUGCGUAGCCGACCUGAGAGGGUGAUCGGCCACACUGGGACUGAGACACGGCCCAUACUCCUACGGGAGGCAGCAGUAGGGAAUCUUCCGCAAUGGACGAAAGUCUGACGGAGCAACGCCGCGUGAGUGAUGAAGGUUUUCGGAUCGUAAAGCUCUGUUGUUAGGGAAAAACAAGUGCAAGAGUAACUGCUUGCACCUUGACGGUACCUAACCAAAAAGCACGGCUAACUACGUGCCAGCAGCCGCGGUAAUACGUAGGUGGCAAGCGUUGUCCGGAAUUAUUGGGCGUAAAGGGCUCGCAGGCGGUUUCUUAAGUCUGAUGUGAAAGCCCCCGGCUCAACCGGGGAGGGUCAUUGGAAACUGGGAAACUUGAGUGCAGAAGAGGAGAGUGGAAUUCCACGUGUAACGGUGAAAUGCGUAGAGAUGUGGAGGAACACCAGUGGCGAA